UUCAGUUUGAAAGAAGCCAAGACCUAUUUUCCAUCAAGAGAUGAUCCAGAGUCUGUUGAAAUUUGUUAUAAUGACAUGGAAUGCCUUGCCCCUGAAGGCUACUUAACAUCGACUAUCAUGAACUUUUACAUACGAUAUUUGCAGCAGCAAGUAUCUCCGACAAUAUCUGACUACCAUUUUUUCAACACAUAUUUCUACAAAAAACUUAAAGAAGCUGUUUCCUGCAAGG